rnacentral:rRNA from 1 species
GACGAACGCUGGCGGCGUGCUUAACACAUGCAAGUCGAACGGAAAGGCCCUGCGUUUGUGGGGUGCUCGAGUGGCGAACGGGUGAGUAACACGUGAGUAACCUGCCCUUGACUUUGGGAUAACUUCAGGAAACUGGGGCUAAUACCGGAUAGGAGCUCCUGCUGCAUGGUGGGGGUUGGAAAGUUUCGGCGGUUGGGGAUGGACUCGCGGCUUAUCAGCUUGUUGGUGGGGUAGUGGCUUACCAAGGCUUUGACGGGUAGCCGGCCUGAGAGGGUGACCGGCCACAUUGGGCCUGAGAUACGGCCCAGACUCCUACGGGAGGCAGCAGUGGGGAAUAUUGCACAAUGGGCGGAAGCCUGAUGCAGCAACGCCGCGUGCGGGAUGACGGCCUUCGGGUUGUAAACCGCUUUCGCCUGUGACGAAGCGUGAGUGACGGUAAUGGGUAAAGAAGCACCGGCUAACUACGUG